CUGAUCUAGCCAUGCCGCGUGAGCGAUGAAGGCCUUAGGGUUGUAAAGCUCUUUCAGCUGGGAAGAUAAUGACGGUACCAGCAGAAGAAGCCCCGGCUAACUCCGUGCCAGCAGCCGCGGUAAUA
rnacentral:rRNA from 1 species